UACGUAGGGACCGAGCGUUGUCCGGAAUCAUUGGGCGUAAAGAGCGUGUAGGCGGCCACUUAAGUCCUGCGUGAAAUCUUGCGGCUCAACCGCAAGCGGUCGUGGGAAACUGGGUGGCUAGAGUGCGGGAGAGGAGAGUGGAAUUCCUGGUGUAGCGGUGGAAUGCGCAGAUAUCAGGAAGAACACCAGUGGCGAAGGCGGCGACCUGGACAGAUAUUGACGCUGAGGUGCGAAAGCGUGGGGAGCAAACAGG
rnacentral:rRNA from 1 species